GACACAUGGCGCCCUGGGUGGGGCCAGCCUGUUGAGUGGGGUCCUUGGUCCACGCCACGCAGGGAGCGCAGGACUUGUCGGAAUCAUAACCAGCCUUCCGCACCUCCUUGCUGAGCCCAGCAGUUCAGGGCUGAGCCUUCCAAGCACCAAACACGUAAGGUCGCCAGGGAAGGAGUGGCCGGAGUUCUUUGAGGGAAGACAGCUUUGGAGAAACUGAUUUUGGGUUUGCGAACAUGUGCUGGGGCUUUUCAGUUUUUGUUUUGCUAGUUUUGGGUGAAGACUCUCUCAUUGCCCAUCUGGGAGGUCGGGAGGACGAGACCAGGCUGGCCCCCCUCUCCAGGGUCUCCAGGCAGUAUCGGGUCGUCCCCAGUGAGGGGACACCCCUCUUAGAGUGGUGCUGCCUUCCAGGUGGUGAAAAUGGCAGUUCCGGACAAGGACUUGCUUAGAGGCCAGCAAACACGGUCCCCUGUAUGUAGGCUCCUCCUCCCUGGGAGUAGGCUCCUCCCCCCAAAUGUAAACUCCUCCUCCCUGAAUGUUGGCUCCUCCCCCCACAACGAAGGGUCCUUCCUGAGUGUUGGCUCCUCCUCCCUGGGUGUAGGCUCCUCCUCUCUGAAUGUUGGCUCCUCCCACCCAACAUAGGGUCCUUCUUCCGGAAUGUUGGCUCCUCCCUGAAUGUAGGCUCCUCCUCCAUCAUAGGCUCCUCCUCCCUAGUAGGCUCCUCCUACCUAAAUGUAGGCUCCUCCCCAAAGGUAGGGUCCUCCCUGAACUUAGGAGGUGAGUGUCCACCCGCUAAAAGCUGGGUGGACCUCGAUGCAUGUAAUGAGUUCCUUUGGCUGUUUGGAAUUGUGCAGAGCCUACUGCUCUCUGCAGGGAGAAGGAACCAGAGGUUCAAUGACCCCGAGUUUUGUCUUUUUUUACAUGCAUUUUUAUAUAGUCAAUGUUUGCCUCAUUUUGUUAGUUUCUCCCAUUCCACACAGACGUGUCCAAAUGUUUGCCGAGGGACCAGAUGUUCCUGAGACAGCACCAGCUUGUUUUCAUCCCAGGCCGCCUGCCCAGAUUUAUGAGAGCGAGUCACUCAAGGGGGCCAGGGGUCUGAAAGGACCUGGGACUCAUUCAUGGGGUGAACAGGGGUGCAGGCGAAGGGGGCCUUGGAGGCUGUGGGUGACGAGGGCUCUCUCCGCUCUGUGCCUCUUCUUUCUCCUCCCGUCUUGUGUCCCCUCAAAGGCUCCUAGUUUCUGCCCUCCUCCCCCCAUAAGUCAAGCUGGCCGUAGGGGCAGCUGUAACGGCACAGACUCCAAUGCCUUUGGUGGCUCUGAGCCCCUCUUCUGGAUUCUUCUGCAGAGGGGUCAGCAGGCUCCCCUCUGGGGAGGGUCGAGUCCCCCCACUGCACUAGGAAAAGGGACAUUCAGAGCCUUGGGGUCUGGGGGAGGGGGAGAGGGGACGGGGGAGGGAGAGGAAGAUGUUUGCUUCUUGAAAGCUGUGAGAGAUCAGGCUGGGGACCUGGCGGGGGGUGCAUUCUGCAAGUUCCUCCUCCAGCACAGAUUCUGGAUGCAAAUAACCCUCCUCCAGGGCACCCCGUCCCCCCUCCCCUCCCCCGCAACACUCUGUCAGAUCCAGUUGGUCAAGGACCCAGGGAGAGUUCAGGAGAGUCGUCAGACCACCCAGCUGAAUUAGUAACCAGGUUCCAGGGAUGGACACUUGUCUUGAGGACGGAGGCGACUUUGGAGGUGGGGAGCCAGGAGGAAGGCAGAGGUCCUUUGGGAGACCAAGGAGAUGGCGCCAGGAGGCGGGAGAGGACGCGGGAAGCCCAGCACUCUUCUUGAAAAUAGCAGGUGCUGCGUAGACAUCCGGCCCCUUAACUGGCAGAGUAGCUACAGGAGGAGCAGGAGGGGAAAGCGAGGCCACUCCGGAGUGUGGGCUUCAAACACCCCCUUUUCCCAGAGUUGGGUCUCCCUGCAGCUGAGAGCCACUGUCAUUAGCUCUGCUGCAGGCCAGGUCUGGGGCUCCUGGACAGACAGGGACAGAGCCGGUGAGCCGGGGGCUUGAUCUCAGGCAGGGCAGUAGUGACCUUCCCCUGGUGCCGCCUGGAAGUGACACGUCCAGGUCUGCAAUUCCGCUCCCUGCACUGCCCCCACAGGCUGCAGCCCCCAGCCUCACCCCAACCCCCGGUGGAGGCAGCAGGGGCAGCAAGGCCAUCAGCGUCUCUGCUGCUGUGACCUGAGCUUCUGGCUGGGAUGGGGGAGGCCCUCUGGGUAGGGGUGCAAUCUGGGGCCUGUAGCACAGUUCAUCAUAGGAUUAGAUGAGGGGCUUGAAGUCAGACCUUGGGGUCUCUACUAGCAGCCCUACCCAGCUGGUUAGCCGAUAGGUUACUCCACUGUAAAUGCUGAGAUGGAGUCACCCGAAGCCAGGGGUGGCCGGUGUUCACCCUGGAGUCUCCCUGGUCAGCAUCAGGGAAAGAGAGCAGAAAACAGGUUGUGAGGCCAAACAGACAUGGUCUUGAACUCCCUCCAGGCCCCUAUCUCACCUGCGGUCUUGGGAGCUCCCCUAACCCACCUGACACUCAUUUCCAGGGUCUGUAAAGUGAAGCUGACAGUACUGACCUCAUCGUGCUCUUUGCAGAUUUAAUUAAGUAACACUAAAGUCACAGGAGGAGCGCCAGCCGGGCCUGGCCAGAAAGGGCGACUUAAAGACUGUCUCAAAACAAAGCUACCCACGCAGGGGGGGCAGCUGCAGGGCAGUGCCCACGGCAGGCUGGCCACAGCAGGGCCCAGCCACCCCAGGAGGGGGCUUGGUCAGGCCCGAGGUGGAGAGGGCUGCCUGGCAGGGACCGUGACCUUUAGUCAAGGACAGCCAGUCUGACCCAGUUGUGUAAACCCAGCAGGAGGGUGCGGGCACUGCCUGCAGGAGCUGGAGCGGGUGGAGCAGGUACGCUGUGGGCUGAAACAAGCUCCCCGGCACGGGAAGGGCUCCAGAACGAGAGCUAGGGUGAUAUGUCCCUUCCAGCCCAGUUCAGGGCCUUUCAAGUCUGGAAGGUGGACGUUUCUGGAGCCCAGGUGUUUUCGGUUCCCCAUAAAGCAUCAGUGCAGCCUGCACACACAGCACGUGCCGCGCAGUGUUUGCCGGCCAGGAAGCCGGUUCUGGAAGGGGCAUAAGGUCCUGACUGACUUGGCCAGCAAGUGUCACGUUUUGGAUUUAAUAUAAAGCGCAGUUCAGUCAGAGAGGAGGGCGCGAUACAUUUAAAUUGUACAUCACAGAUGGAGAUAGGCUGGAAAACAACAGGUCCGCUCUGGCUUUUCUUUUUUGUUGAAACACAGUUGAUUUGCGUUGUGUGAGUUUCAGUGCAGGGAAGCGAUUCAGGUCACACGUAUACACGUACAUUUUUGGUACAUUCUCUUCCCUUACAGGUUAUUCUGAGAUACUGAGCAGAGUCCCCUGUGCUGUACAGUAGGUCCUUGUGGGUUGUCUUCCGUAUCUAGAGUCGCGUGUGUAUUUCCAUCCCGUCUCCUCAUUUAUCCCUCUCUCCCCUCCCCUUUUCUGAUCCAUUUCUCAUUUUGCCUCCCCAAAGAGUUGGCAUCCAAGCGCUUCUUAGUAUCCUGUUGGCAAAAGGGCAGGGGAGUUCACCAACAGCACCCACGGAGAACCGGCUGUCGGCUGCUUUGUAAACAGAGCCCCCACCCACCCCACCCCCCGGCGCUGUCUUUGGUGCCUGAUUGGCUCUGAGGUUGCAGGGCUCUUGCCGGCAGGGGAGGCUCUGGGUGGAUGGAAGGUCUAAUAGAUCAGUGCCCUGUGCCCUGUGCCCUGUGCCCUGGGGAGUCACGCUCUUUACAGGAGGCGCUGUUCCAGCCCAGCCCGGGGCUCUUGCCCUUAGAACUGGACUUCGAGGAGGCCUAUCAGACAUUUUCCCGGGGGGCCCCCUGAGCUCCAUGGGGUGAUCUGCACACGUGCACCUGUCAAGCCCCAGAGGGGAAUGACCUUCCGCCUGGGAACCUGCUCAACCUGCUCGGUAGAAGAGCUGUAAUUUAUGCUCACUCCGUGUCUGGCCAGAUUUUUCUGGCUGCCAAUUAGCUGUUUGGAAAGGAGGGUAGAGCCCAGGUAAGACGGUCGUGGGCUGGUGGGCAUCGGCCGAAUCCUGCUUGCCGUCCUCAGGUCACAGCUGGACCAGCCUGCUCCUCCCUUUCUCAGACUAAGGCUUUGGGAACUGGCAGGUCCAGGCCCCAGGAACCUGCAUUUUUACAGGUCCCCAUGGAGGUGACAUAUGGCCUUGUUUUGGAAACAGGGUUCCUGGGAGCAAGAGCAGAAAAAGUACUUAAACAGGAUUUAAGCGUAUAAAUGCCCUCCCUUACAUGCUAAGAAACUGCUGCUUCCCCUUUGCUGCAGGGAGUUCCCGUCGUGGCGCAGCAGAAACAAAUCUGACCAGGAACCAUGAAGAUGCGGGUUUGACCCGCUCAUUGCCGUGAGCGGUGGUGUAGGUCACAGACAUGGCUCGGAUCUGGCGUUGCUGUGGCUGUGGUGUACACUGGCAGCUGUAGCUCUGAUUCGACCCCUAGCCUGGGAACCUCCAUAUUCCACGG
rnacentral:lncRNA from 1 species